UUGAAUAAUUUGAAACUCCAUCUUACAGACUUGUAGAAUUUGAAGACUUCAACUUGCACACUUGAAGAAUUUGAAGUCUUCAACU
rnacentral:pre_miRNA from 1 species